AACGCGUAUGCAAUCUACCUUUCACAGAGGGAUAGCCCAGAGAAAUUUGGAUUAAUACCUCAUAGUAUAGCAGUUUCGCAUGAAACCACUAUUAAAGUUCCAACGGUGAAAGAUGAGCAUGCGUCCCAUUAGCUAGAUGGUAAGGUAACGGCUUACCAUGGCUACGAUGGGUAGGGGUCCUGAGAGGGAGAUCCCCCCACACUGGUACUGAGACACGGACCAGACUCCUACGGGAGGCAGCAGUGAGGAAUAUUGGUCAAUGGACGCAAGUCUGAACCAGCCAUGCCGCGUGCAGGAUGACGGUCCUAUGGAUUGUAAACUGCUUUUGUACGAGAAGAAACAACAUUACGUGUAAUGUCUUGACGGUAUCGUAAGAAUAAGGAUCGGCUAACUCCGUG
rnacentral:rRNA from 1 species